rnacentral:rRNA from 1 species
UACGGAGGGUGCAAGCGUUGCUCGGAUUUAUUGGGCGUAAAGGGUAGGUAGGCGGUUUUAUUUGUCUAGGGUGAAAUCCUUGAGCUUAACUCGAGAAGUGCCCUAGAAACGGUAAGACUAGAGUCCUGGAGAGGGUCGUGGAAUUCCCGGUGUAGCGGUGAAAUGCGUAGAGAUCGGGAGGAACACCAGAGGCGAAGGCGGGACCCUGGGCCGGUAUUGACGCUGAGGAGCGAAAGCGAGGGGAGCAAACGGG